GAUUUGCACUGUUGCAGCAACAAUACACCCGGUAAAAACAGUUUAAAGCAGGCAGGGCUUGUAUGGCUCAGGGUCCCAGGCCUUGUAUGGGAAGCGUCUGCCCCUUCCCCAUGGCUUAAGUCCUAAAACCAGUGCUGUGUGUUGAAGGAUUCCAUGAAUCCCAGUUGGAUUUGGAAGCUUUGAGUGAUCUAGACACACAUUCCUCUUCCUCCUGCUCACAGGUAUGGCCAGGCUUCUGCCAGUGCUCGAGGGACUCAGAAAAGUCCAGCUUGGCAUCAAGCACCUAGAAAAGACGCUAAAACAAACCACAUCCCCUCCCUUCCUGGCCACAAUCUGCCUGAGUGGCUGUCAACCCUUCCAGGAAGCUCCAUGGCUGGCGCUUGCCUGCCGGGUUGCUAUCUUCCCCCUUAGCUUGUGCUUCCCGCCACGCUCCUAAGAACUCCUGACACCAUGCCUGCAGCUUGAGCCCGUGCCUCCCUGCUCUGACGGACUCAUCCCCCUGGAAGUGCCAAAUUUGAGGACUAAAAGUCUGAGGGGUUGAACUGUGUCACCAGCCAGAUCCAGCCACAGAACAGUUGUGGGAAGCUUUGGCUCAAAGCAGCAAUGGGAACAUUGUUUGCAAAGCACAAACUCUCAGGACUGAGGGAAUGGCUCCAUUGGCAAAGUGCCCGCCUUGCAAGCUUAGAGGACCUGAGUUCAAUCCCCCGCUCCACACAAGAAGCUGUACUGUGGAGAUGCGGGCAGGAGGGCCCCUUGAGGCUUGCUGGCCAGCCAGCCUGUCUAUUCAUCCCGUGGGAGACUCAAAAAAAAAAGAGUGGCUCCUGAGCGAUG
rnacentral:lncRNA from 1 species